rnacentral:rRNA from 1 species
UGGGGAAUAUUGGACAAUGGGGGAACCCUGAUCCAGCCAUGCCGCGUGUGUGAAGAAGGCCUUAUGGUUGUAAAGCACUUUAAGCGAGGAGGAGGCUACUGAGACUAAUACUCUUGGAUAGUGGACGUUACUCGCAGAAUAAGCACCGGCUAACUCUGUGCCAGCAGCCGCGGUAAUACAGAGGGUGCGAGCGUUAAUCGGAUUUACUGGGCGUAAAGCGUGCGUAGGCGGCUUUUUAAGUCGGANGUGAAAUCCCCGAGNUUAACUUGGGAAUUGCAUUCGAUACUGGGAAGCUAGAGUAUGGGAGAGGAUGGUAGAAUUCCAGGUGUAGCGGUGAAAUGCGUAGAGAUCUGGAGGAAUACCGAUGGCGAAGGCAGCCAUCUGGCCUAACACUGACGCUGAGGUACGAAAGCAUGGGAGCAAACAGGAUUAGAUACCCUGGUAGUCCAUGCCGUAAACGAUGUCUACUAGCCGUUGGGGCCUUUGAGGCUUAGUGGCNCAGCUGAACGCGAUAAGUGACCGCCUGGGGAGUACGGUCGCAAGACUAAAACUUAAAGGAA